GCCGAGGUAGCUCAGCCCGGCAGAGCAGCCGCCUUGUAAGCGGCCGGUCAGGGGUUCGAAUCCCCUCCUCGGCUCCA
rnacentral:tRNA from 1 species